rnacentral:rRNA from 1 species
AGUCGAGCGCACCUUCGGGUGAGCGGCGGACGGGUUAGUAACGCGUGGGAAUAUGCCCUUCACUACGGAAUAGCCAUUGGAAACGAUGAGUAAUACCGUAUACGCCCUUCGGGGGAAAGAUUUAUCGGUGAAGGAUUAGCCCGCGUCUGAUUAGAUAGUUGGUGGGGUAACGGCCUACCAAGUCGACGAUCAGUAGCUGGUUUGAGAGGAUGAUCAGCAACACUGGGACUGAGACACGGCCCAGACUCCUACGGGAGGCAGCAGUGGGGAAUCUUAGACAAUGGGCGCAAGCCUGAUCUAGCCAUGCCGCGUGAGUGACGAAGGCCUUAGGGUCGUAAAGCUCUUUCGCCAGGGAUGAUAAUGACAGUACCUGGUAAAGAAACCCCGGCUAACUCCGUGCCAGCAGCCGCGGUAAUAC